AGCUCAGCUGGGAGAGCGGUGCGUUCGCAAUGCACAGGUCAGGGGUUCGAUCCCCCUC
rnacentral:tRNA from 1 species